rnacentral:tRNA from 1 species
GGUAGUGUGGCCGAGAGCUAGGCGGCGAACUGUAGAUUCGCAGAAGGGGAAAAAGGGGUCCUCCGCUAUCA